UACGUAGGGUGCAAGCGUUGUCCGGAAUUAUUGGGCGUAAAGAGCGUGUAGGCGGUCCGAUAAGUCCGCUGUGAAAGUCCAGGGCUCAACCCUGGAAUGCCGGUGGAUACUGUCGGGCUAGAGUCCGGAAGGGGCGAGUGGAAUUCCUGGUGUAGCAGUGAAAUGCGUAGAUAUCAGGAGGAAUACCGAUGGCGAAGGCAGGUCUCUGGGCUGACACUGACGCUCAUGCACGAAAGCGUGGGGAGCAAACAGG
rnacentral:rRNA from 1 species